CCAAUACACAUUUCUUCCCUAUUGACAGAGUUUUACGACCCUAAGGCCUUCAUCACUCACGCGGCGUCGCUGCAUCAGGGUUUCCCCCAUUGUGCAAAAUUCCUCA
rnacentral:rRNA from 1 species